rnacentral:rRNA from 1 species
UACGAAGGGGGCUAGCGUUGCUCGGAACACUGGGCGUAAAGGGUGCGUAGGCGGGUCUUUAAGUCAGGGGUGAAAUCCUGGAGCUCAACUCCAGAACUGCCUUUGAUACUGAAGAUCUUGAGUUCGGGAGAGGUGAGUGGAACUGCGAGUGUAGAAGUGAAAUUCGUAGAUAUUCGCAAGAACACCAGUGGCGAAGGCGGCUCACUGGCCCGAUACUGACGCUGAUGCACGAAAGCGUGGGGAGCAAACAGG